AUGGAGCCCGGGGGAGGAGCUGGACCCGACAACGGCGAGGCUGGAGGGCAGCAGCCUGAUGGAGGUGGCGCGGUGGUGGUGGGUACGGAAGGUGGUGAGACGGUCCAGCGCCGGGGAGUAGUAGGUGAGCUGGCCGGCGCCGUGGGCAAGGCAGAGGGAGCCGUCGUGGUGCGCGGCGAGGGCGGUGGGGAAGGGCUCGGAGGCGGGGGACAGGGUGGAUGCGAGGGACGCGGAGAAGCCGAGGAGGGGCGGAGGGGAGAGCGCGGCGAGGAGCUGGGCGUGGAGGCCGUAGAAGAGGGCCUCGUCGAGGAGGACCCGGGCGGGGAAGGCCGGCGGGGAGGAGGGCGCGCGGAUGGCGGAGAGGAUCGCGGAGAGGAGCGCGGGGUCGCGGUCCACGAAAGCCUUGUUUGCCCAUAA
rnacentral:rRNA from 1 species